rnacentral:rRNA from 1 species
CCUACGGGUGGCAGCAGUGGGGAAUAUUGGACAAUGGGCGCAACCCUGAUCCAGCGACGCCGCGUGAGUGAAGAAGUCAUUCGUUAUGUAAAGCUCUUUUAGCAGGGAAGAAAAUGACGGUACCUGUGUAAGAUGCGCCGGCUAACUCUGUGCCAGCAGCCGCGGUAAUAUGUAGGGGGCAAGCGUUAUCCGGGUUUACUGGGUGUAAAGGGAGCGUAGACGGGAGUGCAAGUCUGGAGUGAAAGGCGGGGGCUCAACCCCCGGACUGCUGUGGAAACUGUACGGCUGGAGUGCAGGAGAGGUAGGUGGAAUUCCUAGUGUAGCGGUGAAAUGCGUAGAUAUUAGGAGGAACACCAGUGGCGAAGGCGGCUUACUGGACUGUAACUGACGGUGAGGCUCGAAAGCGUGGGGAGCAAACAGGAUUAGAUACCCGUGUAGUC